GCGGGAAUAGCUCAAUUGGUAGAGCACAACCUUGCCAAGGUUGAGGUUGCGAGUUCAAAUCUCGUUUCCCGCU
rnacentral:tRNA from 1 species